rnacentral:rRNA from 1 species
GGAAUUCGAUUCAGGCCUAACACAUGCAAGUCGAGCGGAUGAAGAGAGCUUGCUCUCUGAUUUAGAGGCGGACGGGUGAGUAAUGCCUAGGAAUCUGCCUGGUAGUGGGGGAUAACGUUCCGAAAGGAACGCUAAUACCGCAUACGUCCUACGGGAGAAAGCAGGGGACCUUCGGGCCUUGCGCUACCAGAUGAGCCUAGGUCGGAUUAGCUAGUUGGUGAGGUAAUGGCUCACCAAGGCGACGAUCCGUAACUGGUCUGAGAGGAUGAUCAGUCACACUGGAACUGAGACACGGUCCAGACUCCUACGGGAGGCAGCAGUGGGGAAUAUUGGACAAUGGGCGAAAGCCUGAUCCAGCCAGGCCGCGUGUGUGAAGAAGGUCUUCGGAUUGUAAAGCAAUGAAAGUUGGGAGGAAGGGCAUUAACCUAAUACGUUA